GAUGAACGCUAGCGGGAGGCCUAACACAUGCAAGCCGAGCGGUAUUUCUUCUUCGGAAGAGAGAGAGCGGCGUACGGUGCGGAACACGUGUGCAACCUGCCUUUAUCUGGGGAUAGCCUUUCGAAAGGAAGAUUAAUACCCCAUAAUUUAUUUGAUGGCAUCAUUAGAUAUUGAAAACUCCGGUGGAUAGAGAUGGGCACGCGCAAGAUUAGAUAGUUGGUGGGGUAACGGCCCACCAAGUCGAUGAUCUUUAGGGGCCUGAGAGGGUGAUCCCCCACACUGGUACUGAGACACGGACCAGACUCCUACGGGAGGCAGCAGUGAGGAAUAUUGGACAAUGGGUGAGAGCCUGAUCCAGCCAUCCCGCGUGAAGGAUAAGGUCCUAUGGAUUGUAAACUU
rnacentral:rRNA from 1 species